UAUCUUAUGUGGUAGGGGAGAUACUGUGAUUACAAUGAUGGUUUUUCAAAGAUGAAGCUUAUCAAUUGCACUGCAGAUGUGGUGACCCCUGUGAUUUCUACAAAUAUGGGAAAUUUGACUAUCUAAUUUGUAGUAGUGGGGGACAAUAUUAAUGCUUUCCUCUA
ensembl:snRNA U1 U1 spliceosomal RNA